UCGGUACACCGUCCGAGGCUUUUUGGCUCGCGAGUGAGCGAGCUUUUUUCCACGCGGCUGCGUGUCCCUGCGUGUCUAUGUGUAUCACGAACUUCGUUUCACUGAUAACAGAUUUGCAGUCUGAGAAAGUUAUUUAACAAUGGAAAACACGAGAUUAGGGGAAAAAUUGCAUGGCUCACGCACCGUCGGAAACUGUGAGAUCGCGCCGUCAGGAUCUCCGCUGAAACAUGUACGAAUCAGGAUAAGCAUAAUGUAACACGAAUAAAAACUGUAAUAUAAAUCUGCGAGGAAUUUCA